rnacentral:rRNA from 1 species
AUGAACGGCGGUGGUGGCGGCAAGAAGUUCGGCGGCGGGCGGGUGCCGACGGGGACCCCCUCGCUGGCGUGGUCGUCGGUGGUGGUGGUCGCCUCCCUCCUCGCCGGCGCCUCCAUCGUCCACAACAUCUACAAGCCCGACAUGACUCUACCGCCGGUGGAGGUCGCGGACAGCAACGGAACCGGAGCCGGCAGCGGCGAUCGCAAGGAGAGCUGA